GGGUACAUGGUCUAGUGGUAUGAUUUUCGCUUCGCAUCUUGGUCACAAGUGCGAAACUUGUGAAAGGUCCUGGGUUCAAUUCCCAGUGUAUCCA